rnacentral:rRNA from 1 species
UACGAAGGGGGCUAGCGUUGCUCGGAAUCACUGGGCGUAAAGGGCGCGUAGGCGGCCGAUCAAGUCAGGGGUGAAAGCCUGUGGCUCAACCACAGAAUUGCCUUUGAUACUGUUCGGCUCGAGACCGGAAGAGGUAAGUGGAACUGCGAGUGUAGAGGUGAAAUUCGUAGAUAUUCGCAAGAACACCAGGUGGCGAAGGCGGGCUUACUGGUCCGGGUUCUGACGGCUGAGGCGCGAAAGCGUGGGGAGCAACCAGGAU